rnacentral:misc_RNA from 1 species
AAGUCGUAACAAGGUUUCCGUAGGUGAACCUGCGGAAGGAUCAUUAAAAGUAAACUUGCGCAUGCGUGUAUACGUGGUGUGCAUUCGUCGUUGUCGAGCAGCUCUCUUUGAGGGAGUGUGGUUAGACGCGACACCGUUCCGUGUUAUUGUUUGAAACUUGGCGAGUGCAGCGCGCACACCAUCAUCAUGCUGAUGCUGAUGCUGAUGCUGAUGCUGAUAGUGGUGGGGUGUGGCGGCUCGUCAAAGAUGUAUCUGCCAAAAUUCUUGUUAAUGUACCUAGUUUUUAUUGUGUGUUUAAUACACGUAACAACUGUUAGCAAUGGAUCACUUGGUUCUC